rnacentral:rRNA from 1 species
UACGUAGGGUGCGAGCGUUAAUCGGAAUUACUGGGCGUAAAGCGUGCGCAGGCGGUUUUGUAAGCCGGAUGUGAAAUCCCCGGGCUUAACCUGGGAAUGGCAUUCGGGACUGCAAGGCUGGAGUGCGGCAGAGGAGACUGGAAUUCAUGGCGUAGCAGUGAAAUGCGUAGAGAUCAUGAGGAAGACCAGUGGCGAAGGCGGGUCUCUGGACAGUUCCUGACACUGAGACACGAAGGCCAGGGGAGCAAACGGG